GAGUUUGAUCUUGGCUCAGGAUGAACGCUGGCGGCGUGCCUAAAACAUGCAAGUCGAACGGUGGUAGCAAUACUACAGUGGCGAACGGCGGAGUAAUACGUGAACAACGUGCCCCAAAGACUGGGAUAGUCACUGGAAACGGUGGGUAAUACCGGAUGUGGCGUCUGAAUCUCCUGAUUUUGACGUUAAAUGGUUUUUCGCUUUGGGAGCGGUUCACGGCCUAUCAGGUAGUUGGUGGGGUAAUGGCCUACCAAGCCGACGACGGGUAGCGGGUCUGAGAGGAUGAUCCGCUCGAGUGGGACUGAGACACGGCCCACACACCUACGGGUGGCAGCAGUUGGGAAUCUUGCACAAUGGGGGAAACCCUGGAUGCAGCGACGCCGCGUGGAGGACGAAGGGUCUAGGCCUGUAAACUCCUUUUAUGGGGAAAGACUUAGGACGGUACCCCAUGAAUAAGGACCGGCUAACUACGUGCCAGCCGCCGCCGUAAG
rnacentral:rRNA from 1 species